ensembl:lncRNA
AUUAAAAGAUCCUUGCUUUUUUAACUAAAUAAGUGUAAUACCUUGCCUUAGUGUGCCUAAUUUUAAAAAAAGAAAGAAAAAAAAACUGUUCUCCACUUGUUCUCUCAAGAUGUAUGUUACAAUUCUGUGAACUGUCUUGAACUGUACAUACUUCAAUUAAUUAAAUAAUUUAAAAAAAAAAAAAAUAAUAAUAAUCCUUCUUCCUUGUUUUGAACGUAAAACGUUCGGCGGCACCGCCCCCGUCGCUGCGUGCUCGUUCACGUCGCGCCGUUCACAAGUGGACGCCCUGCUGCGUCAUUUGCGCGCCGCCUCGCUCACGAUGCGCUUCUUUGCCCGACAUCCUAAAGAUAGAUGUUCCGAUUUCAGAUGACGACUGGCAGGAGGAGCACAAGCGUCUGGAUGAGCUGGAGGCGGGGCUCGGCCUGGGAGGAGGAGGAGGACUGGGAGGAUAACCGGACUUAGGAGGAACCCAACACUCUUCCUUCUCCUCCUCCUCCUCCUCCAGCCGUCUGCCUCCAUCAGCCGGCUGCCUCCAUCAGCCGGCUGCCUCCCCCUUCCAUCCUCCCUUCCUCCCCUCGGCUUCUCCUCGUCUUCCUCCAGGCUGCCUCCACCAGCCUUGGUCUGGAUCAUUGGGAACAUCUAGUCCGAUGGACUGAGAGCUACAGAGAACAUGAACAUCCAGCUGUGGUUGUCUGAAGAGUCUUCUCUCCUUCAUCACUGUGAGGAAGAGCAGCACUGAUGUCCUCCUCAUCCUCCCAUUAAUAACAAUAAUGCUGCAGAUUCAGCUUCUCUCUUCAUAAUACAACUUGUCUUGUGACUGUUCAGUUUUUACAUUUCAGUCAGCAACAUGUUGUUUAUUUCAUCUAUUUAUUUCAUGUUUACACAUCUUUACAGUUCAGAAUUGUGAAAUAAUGCAGUUUUUAAAUGUGCAAUAAAGGAAAUAAU